rnacentral:rRNA from 1 species
AGUCCCGCUGAACUUAAGCAUAUCAAUAAGCGGAGGAAAAGAAACCAACAGGGAUUGCCCUAGUAACGGCGAGUGAAGCGGCAACAGCUCAAAUUUGAAAUCUGGCCUCACGGUCCGAAUUGUAAUUUGUAGAGGAUGUUUCUGGCGACGUGUCUUCCGAGUUCCCUGGAACGGGACGCCAUAGAGGGUGAGAGCCCCGUCCGGUCGUACACCUAGCCUCUGUGAAACUCCUUCGACGAGUCGAGUAGUUUGGGAAUGCUGCUCUAAAUGGGAGGUAUACGUCUUCUAAAGCUAAAUACCGGCCAGAGACCGAUAGCGCACAAGUAGAGUGAUCGAAAGAUGAAAAGCACUUUGAAAAGAGGGUUAAAUAGUACGUGAAAUUGCUGAAAGGGAAGCGCUUAUGACCAGACUUGGGCUCGGUGAAUCAUCCGGCGUUCUCGCCGGUGCACUUUGCCGUCCCAGGCCAGCAUCAGUUCGCGCCGGGGGAUAAAGGUUUCGGGAAUGUAGCUCCCUCGGGAGUGUUAUAGCCCGUUGCGUAAUACCCUGGCGUGGACUGAGGUCCGCGCUCUGCAAGGAUGCUGGCGUAAUGGUCAUCAGUGACCCGUCUUGAAACACGGACCAAGGAGUCGUCUUCGUAUGCGAGUGUUCGGGUGUCAAACCCCUACGCGUAAUGAAAGUGAACGUAGGAGAGAGCUUCGGCGCAUCUCCGACCGAUCCUGAUGUUCUCGGAUGGAUUUGAGUAAGAGCAUACGGGGCCGGACCCGAAAGAAGGUGAACUAUGCCUGUAUAGGGUGAAGCCAGAGGAAACUCUGGUGGAGGCUCGCAGCGGUUCUGACGUGCAAAUCGAUCGUCAAAUAUGGGCAUGGGGGCGAAAGACUAAUCGAACUACUUAGGGGA